ensembl:lncRNA
GGAGGCUAUAUACAGGGGGUACCGGUACAGAGUCAAUGUGGAGGCUAUAUACAGGGGGUACCGGUACAGAGUCAAUGUGGAGGCUAUAUACAGGGGGUAACGGUACAGAGUCAAUGUGGAGGCUAUAUACAGGGGGUACCGGUACAGAGUCAAUGUGGAGGCUAUAUACAGGGGGUACCGGUACAGAGUCAAUGUGGAGGCUAUAUACAGGGGGUGCCGGUACAGAGUCAAUGUGGAGGCUAUAUACAGGGGGUACUGGUACAGAGUCAAUGUGGAGGCUAUAUACAGGGGGUACCGGUACAGAGUCAAUGUGGAGGCUAUAUACAGGGGGUACCGGUACAGAGUCAAUGUGGAGGCUAUAUACAGGGGGGUACCGGUACAGAGUCAAUGUGGAGGCUAUAUACAGGGGGUACCGGUACAGAGUCAAUGUGGAGGCUAUAUACAGGGUAUUACGGUACAGAGUCAAUGUGGAGGCUAUAUACAGGGUAUUACGGUACAGAGUCAAUGUGGAGGCUAUAU